AGAGAUGUAGCUCAGUGGCAGAGCACGUGUCUUUUAUGUACAAGGCUCUGGCUUCAAUCCCCAGCAUCAUAA
rnacentral:tRNA from 1 species